rnacentral:rRNA from 1 species
AACAAACGCUGGCGGCGUGCCUAACACAUGCAAGUCGUACGAGAAAGUCGGCUUCGGCCGAUGAGUACAGUGGCGCACGGGUGAGUAGCGCGUGGGUAAUCUGCCCCCCCGGUCAGGAAUAACCCGCCGAAAGGCGGGCUAAUACCCGAUAACACUGACGCUCCGCGGAGCGUCUUUCAAAGAAGGCCUCUGUUUACAAGCUUUCGCCGGAGGAUGAGCCCGCGUACCAUUAGCUAGUUGGCAGGGUAAUGGCCUACCAAGGCUACGAUGGUUAGCUGGUCUGAGAGGAUGGCCAGCCACACUGGAACUGAGACACGGUCCAGACUCCUACGGGAGGCAGCAGUGAGGAAUCUUGCGCAAUGGGGGAAACCCUGAUGCAGCAACGCCGCGUGAGGGACGACGGCCUUCGGGUUGUAAACCUCUUUUAGUAGGGAAGAAGCGAAAGUGACGGUACCUGCAGAAAAAAGCACCGGCUAACUACGUG